rnacentral:piRNA from 1 species
UCUCUAAUUGCCUUUAUGACAUCUUGGA